rnacentral:lncRNA from 1 species
AUGGAGAAGUGGGAAGCCCCGAAGGAACCUGUGUGAAAAACGUUGAGUUCUAGUAUGCAGCUCCUGAUGGCAGCAGUCACCAAAGCCCAUCUCCAUUGGCCUUGUGCCCUACGUCCUUGUUGUGUGAUGAGUUCCCUGUGUAAGGCUGGUUUUGACACCAUGGUGGGGAACCAGGAAUCUGGUGAGGUCCAUACUGGGUGAUGCUGGCAGAGCAGGGUGGGCAGGGAUAAAAUGCUGAUGUCUAGAUGAGUCUCUGUUCUAGGAAGGACUGGUCCCCUGUUGUUAGAGGUAGCCAGAGCAGUUAGGGAUCUACUUUUUCUUUUUUUUGUGUGUGUGUGUGGUAUGGGGAUUGAAGCCAGCGCCUUGCCCAGGCUGGACAGGCACUCUCCUACUGAGCUACAUCCCCAACCCUUAAAAAAAAUGAUUUUGAGACUGAGUCUCAAAAUUUUGUUGCCCAGGCUGAUCCUGAACUCCUGGACACGAGACAUCUGCCUCAGACUCCAGAGUAGCUAGGACUACAGACCCUUGCCAGUGUACCCCUGGCUUCACACCUUUGUUUAUUUGUUGAUUCAUUCAUUCACUCAUUCAUUCAUUCACUCAUUCCUGGGGAUUGAACCCAGCGGCACUCUACCUCUGAGCUAUGUUCCCAGCCCUUUUAUAUUACUUUUGAUACAGGGUUUCACUAGGUUGCCUAGAUUGACCUUGAACUUGUGAUCUUCCUGCCUCAGCCUCCGGAGUAGGUAGAAUUACAGGUGUGUAGCAUGAUGCCCGCUGGGGGUCUGCUUUUUAAAGAGGUUUCUGUGGGUG